UACGGAGGGUGCAAGCGUUAUCCGGAUUCACUGGGUUUAAAGGGUGCGUAGGCGGGCAGGUAAGUCAGAGGUGAAAUCUCCGGGCUUAACCCGGAAACUGCCUUUGAUACUAUCUGUCUUGAAUAUGGUGGAGGUAAGCGGAAUGUGUCAUGUAGCGGUGAAAUGCUUAGAUAUGACAUAGAACACCCAUUGCGAAGGCAGCUUACUACGCCUAUAUUGACGCUGAGGCACGAAAGCGUGGGGAUCAAACAGG
rnacentral:rRNA from 1 species